CGUGAGAUGUUGGGUUAAGUCCCGCAACGAGCGCAACCCCUAUCCUUUGUUGCCAGCACGUAAUGGUGGGAACUCAAAGGAGACUGCGCGGACAAACGCGGAGGAAGGCGGGGAUGACGUCAAGUCAUCAUGCCCCUUAUGUCCUGGGCUACACACGUACUACAAUGGGAUGGACAGAGAGCAGCGAAGCCGCGAGGCCAAGCGAACCCCAUAAACCAUCUCCCAGUUCGGAUUGCAGGCUGCAACCCGCCUGCA
rnacentral:rRNA from 1 species